AUGCCCACGGCCAGGGCCACCACUGAAGGGCAAUCUUCUGCUACUAGGCCUCUUGCCACUGCCUCCCCAGCUGGAUUCAAAGCUGCAGGAAUACUCCAGGCCCUCCAGGUGUCAAAGCUGGGCUUUACUUGCUGCUCUCCUUACCUUCUGCACUACCAGUCUCACCCUUCCUUCAAACCAAGUUAAGAGAGGGGGACUCUGCUAUUUCUGGUUGACCUUAUCCUGUGCUUUGUAAGGAUCUGGAGUUGCACAGGUGAAGGAAGUGGUCGGAGGAGAGGAGAAAGUUACGGAAACAGCUGCUGUGGGAGAAGCACUUCACUCCCUCUCUGCUCCAUAGUCUGUGCUAAAAUCCAAGUGGGAAAUGGAAAUGGGGAGUUAUGCUAUUUCCAGGUUUCUGUUGGGGGCCUUUCCAUGCUGAAACCAAAUCAUAGGAUGUAAGACAGGGACACUCCAGUUUCCUUCUAAAGUGGUGGCAGGACCAUUUAUUCAUGUAAAUCCUGACAGGGUUAAUUGAAUUGUUUCGACACUCGUUAGGUGAAUGUGGAGGAGAUGGGUGUGUGCCUGCUCUCCUGCUCUGUUUCCCUCACAUCCCUCUCCCAUUGUUAUCUUCUUAAUUUCACAUUUUUCAGUCAUGGUGGGAGUGUGGGGAACAAUCAUUCCCAGUUGCUACCAACCAUAAGUACAAACUGAAUGCAGACUGCUCCUCAAUCACUGAGCACUGAUUUUACCCAACAAUAUUGGACCACUCCAGGAUGGGAGCCAUCAUUCAAAGUGUCCCCCAGAAAGUUGCCACUGGAAAUAUAUGAAUACUGAUUUUUUUUUUUUUGUGUGUGUGUGUGUGUGUGUGUGUCUUUUUGCCAUUUCUUGGCCGCUCCUGAGGCAUAUGGAGGUUCCCGGGCUAGGGGUCGAAUCGGAGCUGUAGCUGCCAGCCUACGCCAGAGCCACAGCAACGCAGGAUCCGAGCCGCGUCUGCGAGCUACACCACAGCUCACGGCAACGCCGGAACCCUGACCCACUGAGCAAGGGCAGGGAUCGAACCCGCAACGGGAACUCCUGAAUACUGANCCCAUUGCCCUCCCUUGGAUUAUAAA
rnacentral:lncRNA from 1 species